rnacentral:rRNA from 1 species
AUGAUAAAGAUCGGUUGCUAUCCGUCCUCAGAUAACACGGAUGCCACACCUGCAUGGGUAUUAAACAGAGCCAAAGAGUAUAUGGAAAAUGAUACGAUAUUCAUUCCAAUAAACAUGGACGAAGUUCACUGGUACCUAUGUGUUAUAAAUGCCAGAAAACUAUGUGUUCAAGUGCUCGACUCGCUAGGCCCAUCAAUGAACCGCAAGGACCUCACUAAUACGCUAGAAGGACUGGUUGAUUUAUUCAAAUAUGCAUCCGAGCACAUGGAAUUAAAAUCCGAUAAGUGGACUGAUCUAAAUGUUACAACAUGGAAAAGAGAAGAAUAUACUAAGAGCAGUCUUCAGACGGAUGGGCACGCCUCCUAA